rnacentral:tRNA from 1 species
CAGGGAGACAACAAAAUGUUUAAUAUUAUUAUUUUGUCACCUUAGGUCGAUCGGUAUCUCACGUUCUUAAUUUAUUAAGAAUUUCAUUUCCUAAGUUUUUCUAGGUCACACCCAUUAUUUUCCUGGGCCAUUAGCUCAGGUGGUUAGAGCGCACCCCUGAUAAGGGUGAGGUCCCUGGUUCAAGUCCAGGAUGGCCCAUAUCUCUAUGUUGGGGGUAUAGCUCAGUUGGUAGAGCGCCUGCUUUGCAAGCAGGAUGUCAGCGGUUCGAGUCCGCUUACCUCCACUGAUUACCACCUCUUCCAUAAUCUGUAGAAAGGAAAAUUUUUUGAGUUGUGAUCAUUAUUCUGAACGAAUCUAGCUUCCUAAUGAAAUUAUUAAGAUGCUGGACUCAUUGAAUUAAUUUCAUUGUUUUCAGAGAACCUUGACAACUGCAUAGAUUAUUUUAAAGACAAUAAGCAUCUUUAAUGAUGCAGAUUUAUUAUUUUUGCAAAUGCAUUAAUAACAAUUCUAUUAAGCUGAUGCUUCAAUUAUGAAGUUAUU